GUUCAUCUUAACAUGAGGAACACAUCCACAGAGUAUUGCUCAGGCACACACGACGAUAAGCAUACAAAUUAGAGAGGCAAACGCACACCAAUGCACACUGACUGCACUUCUGAAACGCGCAACGGAGCCUUCGCGGCGUCGCGAGAGCCGCUCAGUCAAACUGUGAACGGCUCGGCGGCCUUGUCAUCUUGGUAGACUCUGCUCGAGUGAGGCGUAUCUGCAGUGAUGCAGGUGUGUGUGUGUGUUGGGGGCGGUAGAAAUGUAUAACAGCACUUUUGGGAUCAAAAUGGCAACACAGUCAACAUUUUUACUGAUAGUCACUAUUAGCUCUCCACCCAUUUUAUUUUGGCUGUUUUUGGCCUAAGAGAAAGUGCUGUGAAGCAAAUGGCAGGAUAUUUACUGUGGCUGGAGGUCUUUCUGUUAAUGACAUUUAAAUCUCCCCCAGCAGAUGGUGGACACGACAGAAGCGGCAAUAAAUACUGUUAGCAAAAAUCCAAAACAAGAAGCAAUGUCAAGCCGAGCUGGGAUGAAGUCACAAGUGGCACAUAAAGGGAGUGGAGAACUGGAUGCGCAUGUGUCUCCUACGAGGGGAUCAAAUGGAACAGUGCUCAUUCACAGAGUGACCUCUUACGGUGCAGGGAAAGCACGACUCUCGCUUUCCUACCUGACUGCCGCCUGCAGGAAGCCCUCCUGCACGGCGUACAGCUACUUAUAAGGUAAACCACUGGAUCAUCAUCACCAUAAUUAUGCCCCAGCACAAGUCCCCACGCUCGGCCCGAGCAGAAAUAUAGUUAGAGGGCUAAAGGGAGCCAAUGCAACUCAUUAAUAGUGUGCCAGACCCACGGUGAUAACGCUGGAUCAAAUUCCUGAGAGAGGUUUUAUUUUUUGACCAAUUAGCUGCGUGAACAACCUAUUGGCCAUGAAGUGAUCUCUGCAGGGACUUUAUCAGACCAUGCUCUAUUAAAUCAGCUCUUCGGCUCAGCAGUUAUGUACCAUCGCGGUGCUUAGAAUGGCCGCUUCUGAUGGAUGUCAUUGCCAAAUGCCAAGUAAUAAUGGUUGUUAUUGUGCAUCCCAGGGCUGUAGUUAUCUUAUGGAUGCUUCUAUUGCUUUGUUUGUGCGCGCAUGUAUGUGCACUUAUGUGAAAUGGAGACACGGGAUAAUGGGUAAUAUUUUUUUUGCGUCUCAGAGAGCUCGCGCCCGGUGAAAUAUUAUCACCAUGGAAGCGGCGGCCGCUUCGAAUGUGAAGCGCGCUGUGGAGUAUGCACAGGGAGUCUCCAGGUGGGUCAAAGGGUCCGGCAGCAGGGCGCCGUUUACAUCAUAAAUCGUUUCCAUAGGUUCUGCUGUGAUGACGCGUCUGAGGGUUGCGCUGAGUGAGUGAAGCAUCAU
rnacentral:lncRNA from 1 species